UACGAAGGGGCUAGCGUUGCUCGGAAUCACUGGGCGUAAGGGUGCGUAGGCGGGUCUUUAAGUCAGAGGUGAAAUCCUGGAGCUCAACUCCAGAACUGCCUUUGAUACUGAGGAUCUUGAGUUCGGAGAGGUGAGUGGAACUGCCGAGUGUAGAGGUGAAAUUCGUAGAUAUUCGCAAGAACACCAGUGCGAAGGCGGCUCACUGGCCGAUACUGACGCUGAGGCACGAAAGCGUGGGGA
rnacentral:rRNA from 1 species